AGAGCUCAGUCCACAAAUGGUGACUGGUGCUUUUAGUUCAGCAGCUUCAUUUGGACCCUGACAAAUACAUCAGCCAAUGUGUAUUUAGCUUCUACGAAAGGUAUUUUCCUACAAAUUCAGGUGUACAUAUACUUUGUUCAGCUCACUUAGUUUUUGCAGAUUUACACAGAAGUCUGUCAGUACAGGAAGUGCUGUACGUAUGUUUCAGAACAAGUGUGUGGGUGAUCCAAAAGUGGAGCUCAGAUAUUUUUCAGAUCACUCAUGAACAUGUAAAACAGAUCACGAUACAUCUGAAAUGAAGCCAGCAUGUGAACAUGGGAGAGACAGAAGUUGCAUUCUGGGAUGGCAAAUUUCAGUCAACAUUCACCUAAGAUAUCAGAGAAAUUGCCACUCUGACUGUUCCCACAGCUGAAGGGAUCUUCUCACUUCUUGCUGUCUGGACACUGCUCUUGACAUGACUAUGGAAGAAGGUCAAUUUUGUAUUACUUGAAGCAUAUAAGUCUGGGAGCCUUGGAUCAUCACUGACUCAUGCUGUGCUCCAGAAAAUGGACUACAUAACAAGUAUUUUCUAAAUAUAUGAAGGUAUUUACUGCAGACAUCAGCUGUGCUUGUAUGUAUAUCUCAUACCUUUCCAAAAGCCAAGAUGACAUUUUUAAGUAGGCAUAGGAAUGUGUGAAUAAGAUCAUACUGAAUGAGGAACAGGAUUAACUUUACUGAGAAUAGCAGCUCUUUUGUGCAAAGACUUUGUUCUGCACUUGCACAGAUCCAGCAGUCCGUGACUGAUGCCUCCAGUGAAACUGAAAGAACUAAUAAUUACAAGACAUCUUUUUAAAGUAGCACUUGCCUUACGUGAUAAGUACAAUAAAGCCAACAUUUCAGACUAGAAUAUUUUAAUCGUUUCACCUUGGAUGUCCUAAAUUAAAUCUGACAGAUCAAUAACUUUCAUUUUCACACUGAAUACACAGGCUAAAGGUCUGCUUUCUGAGCAGUUCCAAUAAACUAUUGGGUGAGGUGUUUCAGCAAGAGAGGGAAGUGCUGUCUCUCUGGGAAUACUGUCACAGUCACAUGUUUUUGAGACAGGAAUUCAUUCUGGAAGAGACAUAGGAAAAAAGCAUUUUUAGGAGACUUUAGAGGAAUCUUAGAAAAAAACUCAAAACAAAGGUGCUUUAGGUCAGUUCACAAAAAGGAAGACAGAGAGGCCACAGUUUCGAAGAUAAGAGGGAGGAGAAAUCUUUCUUCUAAAGGAAAGUGUUGGCUUAAGAACAAGUGAGCAGAACUGUCCAUGAUUACACUUUCUUUUGGAAAUUAGAAAUUUUCUAAUGAUAAAGCAACAUGAUUCUGGAACAGCUUUGCAAUAAGAGUAGCUGACAAAAAAAACACCCAGCACUUAGAAGAUGGAGUAUGCUGCUGCCUGUAACUGCAAAUAACUGUUCCAAAAUGUCCAUGCUCCUAAAUGCCUUUUUUUCCUAAAUUGCUUUUUUCACAAAAUGGCUAUUGUCAACAGAUUUAUUCUAAUAAUGGAUCUAAGCCCUUCCAGAUCUUACUCCCUUCAGUCAAGUAAAUUGGUACUUGUGGGAGAUCAGAACCAAGCACCAGCUCAGAGCUGCCAAUGACAAGAUUCAUAAAGAGAAGAAACCUCAUGGAGAAGGCGCAUUUCAUUCUACAUUUCAGAACCUGAUGCAGCUAAUUAAUUUGUCAUCUGAUUGCAGCUAGCAACCCAUUUAUCAGUCCAACACUUUCACUGGUGUACAAUACAAGUGCACUGAAUCAGAGCAGUUGUGUUUUGAAUUGAGCGUCCUAUGAUUACAAUGAUAAUAUCUAGAGAAACAUUCUGAGGAUGCUUCCAGGCAGCUUAAAAUCAAUGAAAAUGGUGAGUAUUCUACAUCUCUUCAGAUUUUGCUUCUGCUUUGUCUACAUAACCCUUAUCUUUUACCCCUGAAGAGAAUGGGUGUGUUCCCUGUGGAUAUAUUUCAAUAUCUCUUUUGCUGAGAAAAUUAAGCACUGAGUGAUCCACUUCAGAAAUCUGCUCUCUGGGGAAUUGGUAAAUAUGCAUGUAAACAACAGCCCUAAAGUAUCUGAAAUAUUUUUGUGUUGUACUUCAGAGGUUAGAUGAAGGAAUUAAAAAAAGAGAGAAUAGAUUUCACUCCAGAAAUUGUUUUUCUUUUUCUGACUGCUCAGAAAUCAGUCAGGCUCUCCUCCCGUCUGCCACCAUAGUUUUAAAUUCUUUUUGCUAAACUCAGUUCUUAGAGAAGUUAUUCAUCUCUGACUGUCCCUCUGAUGAAAUAAUUCAGUGGAAUUUCCUGGGUCAGUUGGCAUGGAGUUUAUCUCUUGUAUAUCCACAGAUGUUAUUUGAGUCCAUCUUACACUCAGUGGGGCGAUUUGCAAUUGUUUCUCUCUAGUUUUAUGUGUCUUCCAUUAUAAAGGACAGAUUUUCUGUUGUCUUAGGGUAUGCUACAUUCAAUUUAAAGGCACUUAUCUAUGCCAUGCACUGCUAUGUUGGACUCUUGGGUAUAUCAAAUAAACAAUUUGGCUCCCUCUGUAGAGAAAAUCACUUCUACCAUUUGAAUAGGUCUCUUACCCAUUCCCUUUCUCAUCUAUUUAACGUAUUAGUUCAUUGAGGGAGAUGCAGUCUCUUAUGAUUUGGGUAAAACAGCACACAGUGUAUUAACUCCUUACCUCAAUAUGGGACUCCAAGUGCCAAGAGUUAAGAGAAAAUUUGAGAAAGAUUCUAGAAUGGUCACUAGAGUUGAGGAUCUUUUGCAAAAUCAAGAAGAAGGAAGGAAAAGACAAUAUCUGAAAGAUGUAGAAUUUGAGGUAUGUUGAAAACAACCCAAUAUUGGAUUUCUCUGGGGUUGAAUUUCAGACUAACUAAUUGGAAGACUUGAAAAUUGUUGUAUUAUCCCGAAUACUGCUUGAAGCCACAAAAAUGUCAAUUAAAAUGUUGAAUCUGGAAUAUACAGGAGCCAGACCAGGCUCAGAACUAAAGGCAAUGCAGAUUUUCACCUCCCAUGGAUGAGUGCUGCCAGGAGAAGGGGCAGUGCUGGGAUGGAGAAGCAGGCAUAGUGCCAGGGCCAAGGGCAAGAACCGCUGCUUCUGCAAAGAGAUGAACAAUAGUUUUCAGCCUACUUCCAGCAGUUUUUCCCUUGGCAAUAGCAGUGGCAGGUUUCUGGCAGAAGCAUAGCAGACAGAUGCUCCUGCAACUGCAGACUUUGUCUACAUCUAGAGCUGGCUCUGCAAAUCCCAUUGUAUUUAUUUUAGAACUUGAAACAUAUAGUAUACCUGGCACAAGGCCCAUUCUAUGCUUUCAAUGUGCUUUGGGGAUAAAAAGUAGCUACACAAAAUUGCCAGGUGUGAGCAAUCAGAGCACAAUUACAUCUAUUAUGAAUUGAAUGAAUUAUCUCCUUAAAAAAAAAUUAAAUGUUAUGGAACAUGUCUCAUUUAGCAAUUAAAAAAUGUAUAUGCUCAGGUGAGUCUUCUCACAACUUGGCUAACUCCUGCCAUGCUUUUCACACUUCCUUUUGAAUGCCAGAACCGAGUCUGCUGCACAAAGCAGUCUCAGCAUUUAUUCAGAUGCACAUCAGUGAGUCAUGGGCAUGAGAUUAUUUUAUUCAGUACUGACAAUGUCAAAGUAAGAUAACAACAAACUCAUGUGUACUUUUAAAGCUGCAGAGAUAUAAGUGCAAAUUGUGGAAUGGUGAGAAUUCAGAGAUACAGAAAAGACCUCUCUUAUUGAGAGCAUCAAGCUUUAACGGUGAGACAGGUUCUAAAGUAGUACUUGGAUGAAGUUCAGGUGCCUGCCUGCACCUGAAAGGUUGUUCUCUCCAACCAGUCCUACAGUUGUUGUCAUUUGGGUUGUUGUUAGAGUUGUCUAUAUUUGGGACUUUGGAACUCAAUGGGAGUCUGGACAGACAGAGCUACCUGGCGAAGAUGUACCCAGAGACUUCUGCUGGUUGCAAGAUUGUACUGAGAGUGAUGAUCAAUGGCUCAGUGUUUGGUUAAGAAUAUUGGAUAGUGAGACACUGGCACAGGUUACCAGAGGGUGAUAGAUGCCCCAUCCCUGAAGACAAGCAAGGUUAGUCUGAGCAAGGCUCUGAGCACCCUGAUCUAAAUGUAGAUGUCCCUGUUCAUUGCAGGGGAGUUGGGCUAGAUAGCCUUCAAAUGUCCCUUCCAACUCAAACAAUUUUAUGAUUCUAUGACUCUUGAGGCAAUUAAGUGACUGCAUUUUGUGCCCAGAAUAUGAUUUGGAUGAAAUAUCAGAAGAACGAGAAUGUGUGACUUUAGGUGCAGUGAGCUUAUGCUAUUCAGAAUGUGCAAAUAAUUGACAUUUCAAUAUACUGCUUUGGAUUUGUCUGUCAAGUGCAAUUGAUAGCUAAUUGGACCCCAGGUUUGUAAAACUAUUAACUUCUUACAGUACAAACAUGGAAACCAAAAUGUCUGAUCUGGUAGCUCAUCCCCUUGAAUGAAACAAGAACACUUACAGGAAGCCAGGAAGGCAAAAAUUGCAGUUAGAUAGAAGGGCCAAGACACCUGGAAAUCUGGUUCUUAGGUUUGCAAGUGUUAAUGAUGCUAAGUGAUUAGAAUCAAAUUCCCAUCUCAGCCAAAAGUUAGCACUGUAAUACUCCCCAGUGUAGACUAAGGCUCUGCGCCAGUCUUGAAGGAGUUGGAAAGUAUCUUGUAGCCCAUAUAAUCAAAUCAUCUAGGGAUGCACAGGUCAAGUGUUGGGGUGAGCUAUUAAAAGGUGAACCUGUGAAUACAAGGCUGUACUCUAUUCAGUCUCACGUAAUUAUAGACACUUUAACUUUCCCACAAACCCUGCUAAAAGGUAUCUCUUUUGCCAGAAAUAUGCUACUACUUAGUAGCUGAGUAAUGUUUUUUGUCUCUUUGCAAAGCCUCAGGCUACUGCCUGUUCCAGACCAAAGCAGCAGCCUCUUGGCUCCCACAAGCAUAGAAAGCAAUGGUUUAAACCAGGGUAGAUCAAAGACUUGUAUCUAGCUAAAGAAACUGCUUUGCUUAAGUUUUUAGCUGGGAAGGUAUCCUAUCUGAUAAACAGACAACACAGCUCAGCUCAGCUGAUAAAAAUGUGAGGGACUGGGCAGCAUUUGGUCAGCAAAUAGGCAUUCCCCCUCCAAUUAUCUGGCAGUGUCCUAAGUGGUGCUUGCAGAAGCUGGUGACUAUUUAUUACUGUUAUUACUGUCUGCAAGGGACUCGUGGGAAUAUGAGAUGCAAGAAGGAGAGAAAGAAGCACUAAGCAGAAUAAUGUUAUGGACAUGAUUAAGGUAGCUCAGAUACGAAAACAGUGAGUCCUGUAUUAUGAGAUAGGUAAUCCAUAACAAUUUGGGUUGUUUUCUUUUUAUUGUGACAUGUUCCCUUUGCUUUCUACAAAGAGAAUUUCUAGAGCUGAAUGGUUACCUCUUCCCAGAUUCAUUAGUGUUACUUGUACAUUGUUCAUUCAUCCUAACAUCCUUGUGAUCUCCUCUGCAUAAUUAGAGCUGUGAGUACAAAAUCAAGAAAGGUUUAACUUUCCCGUGCUUUUGUAUUUCUUAAACACAGCACAAGAUCACAGAAAGGACUGCAAUUUGUGUUCUCCCUAUGUAGUAGCUAUUCUGAAGGAAGGGUUGCAACCUUGACUGUCACCAGGGGCUGCUUUGACUCACAGCUAACCACUGCACAACUGGUAACAUUUGAACUUGGUAUUAGAAUUCAGAUUUUUCUUUCCUCACAUAUUUUUCUAUUUUUCUGUCUCUGAAUAUAGUUAUACAGUGCAUCUUGUUAGAUAUUUCAGCAGCCGCUAUUCACUUUCCUUCAAUCUAUCAGUCUUCUUUAGGAAAGAAACUGCACUCUUCCAUUACUACUGAAAGGGCGAGGCUGGAUCUUGGCAGCUGUUCUACACCUUCAGGUCCUUCAGAUGGCCUACCUUAACUAUUCACAAGAAUAUCCAGUUAAGGUCUUUCUAGGUUGUUUUAGCAGACCUUUUUCUUCCUGACUCUCUUCCUCUUUCACUGAGUGUAUUUUAGCAUCAUUUCCAAACUUCCUACUGGCAACUCUCUCCUUGCUGAGAAGUGACAUCCUUUCACGGUCUGACGCCCAGUGCCUUGUUCCUGUCUUGUUUCUGUAUGUUUAACAGCUCUAGACAUCUUGGCAGGAGGACCAGAACAUGCUCACUAUCUGUAUUUCUUGGCCUCUUUCUGAUAAGACUGAGAGUUCCUUUGCUCUCUGUGGACCUUUGAGUGAACAAAGCAGAAGGAGAAUGCAAAAUCUUGCUCUCCUUCUCCCUUACUGUGAUCAAGUGCAACAAGAAUGGCAGUUCCUGUACUCCUGGGAACAGACAUACUAAACUGUAUGAACAGCAAGUAGGACACAAGUCCAGGCCUAACAUUUGCUUGCAGUGCUUGUCAGCAUCUAGGAAAGAGCCAUGAAGAGUCUUUGGAUGAUUAAAAUUUAGGAUGAACUCCUGCUUUGGUGAAUUUAUCCAGUAGGAAUUUUGGUAUGUGUUUCUUCUGACUUAAUGUGAUUUCUUUGAACUAUGGGCCACUUCUGUAGACAAAGCUAAUGCUUUGCAGUCCUUUCUUAUGGUAUGACAAGAGCUUUAUGCUUUUAGGUAAAUUUUCUGCUUACAAGUUAUAUAUUUAUCCCCUGGCAGAGACAUGAACUACUACUUUCUGAUGAAGGCUAUCCCAGGUGAUUAAUGAUCAUAUCUAUUGUUUCACAUUAAUCAAACCUGACUUAGGAAAAAAAAAUCAACAGAAUAAACCCAACAAACUAAUCAAAACCAGUUAGAGUGCUCUGAUAUUUAACACUUUUUUUUAUUGUUUUUCUUUCUCAGAUGCUCUUCCCCUACACCAUUUUUUCCGGGGAAUUAAACUGAGAUGAGGCUACAGAAGUGAGGACUGAGAGAUAAAAAGGAAAACUUUGAAACUGACUAGUGAUGAGUUUGGUUAACUGUGCACAUUUCUGGUUUAUAGCAUGAGUUAAAAAGAAUUAGUACACUGAGUGUCAGUAGUAAGCAUGUGAAUAGCUCAAUAUAACAAAUGUGGUUUUUAUAAUCCUUGUCAAAAGUUGUGUGACCAUUUCAACCGAUGUUAAAUAUUUCAUUAAAGGUUAUGCAGGUUGAAUGAUUCCAGUACAAGUGGGGAAAAUAAAUUUAAACAAGCAGAGGUCUCUCUUGAUUUCUAUAAAUAUGGGGUUUAUUUUUUGAUGGGUGGCAGCAAUUUUUUUGUAUGCAUCUCAACACUUUUCUAUUCAUUUGGACCUCACAAGGUAAAUGAAUACUAAGAGUGAAACAGGAAAGGUGGAAUACAGAGAAAAUGCAGUUACUGGAUUUACUGAGUCCAUUUGAUAGUGCUGAAAUAUUUUUUACUUAUUCUUAUAGCCAUUCAUUCUGUUCAGGUUCUGUAGUAUAUGGCAAGUACCACAUAAGUGAAUAAAGAAGCAAAUCUUUCUUGUGUAUUAAUAGAAAUGACAUACUCUAAAAUUAACUUGUCUACUGUGGCACAGAAAUAUAUAUACCGAACAAUUGGUCCCCUUCUCUGGAAAUUGAAUUUAAAUACAAAUGAAAUAUGACAGUUCUUAGUUAAAAAUGACAGUCUCAUUGAUUCAGAAAGUGGAAACACAAGAGUAUCCCAACUAAAGACAAACAAAGAGCAGGAAUUUGAAUCACCAUCACUACUGGGGAGGUAGCACAAGCGACAAAACAUACUGGGGUACACUCCCAACAAUGCCCACAGCCAGGCAUGUGACUGUCCCACUCUGAAGGCAGCAAUGAGUUUUAGUAGGGUUUUGCUAGUACACCUUGACCUGAAGGUUAGUCAGUGCAAGUGGGCUAUACAGACUUAACUCUACCCCAGUAUUUGUUGAGUUCUAUCUGAAUCAUGCAUCAGAGACACCACUAGCAUUAGGAGGAUGAAGAAAGAGAUGCCUGAUAUAGCUCCUCAGAAGGUAAUUGGCAGUAUACAGCAUGUGCUUCUCCAGAUGAUCUGUGAUGGAGAACGUUCUGAGGCACUUACAUUUAGAGAGACUGGACUGGAACAGAAAGGUUAAAGAAUGUUUGAUGCAGUAUGGAUACAGAAGAGCACACCUGUUCCUUUCUUCAUCAGUUUUCUAGGCAGCUGAGCCUUCUUGCACACUACAGCUGUUUGUUGUCAGGGGCAGCCACAGACUCCAGCUGAAGCUCAUUUGCCCUCUGCACCAUGGGAAACUAGCAGCCAAGUGAACUCCAUUUAUCACUCCAUCCCUUUUAAGAAAGAAAUCUAUUUCCCUCUAGAGCUAGUAAAAUCUAAAAUCAAAGUUCUCUAUGGAUAGACUUCAGGCUGAAUUCUCAACUCAUGCGAUUAACUUUGUUGAACCUACAGCAACUGUACUAGGGAUACACUGCAUGUUCAAGCCUUUAUGCACAAGAAAGUCUCUGAUUCUUCUCUGAAAACCUAGUUUCCAGAUUGUUGGUCCCCAGCCUGUACCAGAGCACAGGUUGCUGUUCUUCAGUAAUGCUCUUGUAUCCUGACAAGGCCUUUAGCAGCUCCAUCUGACCAUUUCCAUGCUACUUUUCCUGCAGUUCUCUGAAAAAUCUGACCUCAAGAAUUACCUCUGCAACCAUUUGAAGUUGGUAUUCCAAACAGGCCUUGGAUGGGAGGAUUACAUCACAGACCUGAUUUGUGCACAUUUGUAUUACCUUAUGAAACCCAAAGAAGAAAAUAUCAUUUAGAAAAGGAAUCACUGGAUGUGGGAAGAAAGGAGGAGGAAAGCAGCAGUAAUGGAGUGCUUGUGCCACAACACCUCCCAGAUGUUCGGGGUGCAUCUUACCAGCUGAGGACGGUCCUAGAAACAGGAGUGCAGCUGAAUCAGUGCUCUCUAGUGAUGAGUGAGAUGCCAUCAGUAUGUAUUAUACAUGGCAGAAUAAAUGUGAAAUGAAUGAAAAACAUUCUCAUGCCUGCUAAAGUGCGUAUCCUGAUUAUUUGGUUUUGGAUGGACGAGAAAACUCUGAGGAUGAAGACAGUGCUGUUUCCAGAAAUCUUCUGCUCUAUAUGCAGGAUAAAUUUAUUUCAUUCUCAUGAAGACACUAAGCUAUUAUUGGAUAAUUUCCUGUAAUUUGAGGACUGAAGGAAAUAUUGAUAAGACUUGGGAAAAAAAGUGCUUUGAACAUCUGACAGGAAAUGGGACUGAUAUUUUUGUAAAAGAUUUAAUUUUGGGCCCAUUAGUCUUUGAAAAGUAUUCCUACAAGGGAAGUGUAAGAGUGAUGACAAAACCUGUUCACAUGUUUCCCAACGAAUAAUAAUUUUUAAUCUUUUGAGCAUUGUAGCACCCAUGGUACUCCAUUAUACGCAAAUUUUAGGCAGCUCUGGAAGCAGAUGUUUUCCUAAAUCUUGCAAACUCACACUGCAUUUGUCAGCACAGUACCAGUUUUCUGGUACACCAUUUUUUAGUUUUUCAGGUUUGUUGAAAGAACCCGAAGGAUGAAAGAGUCAUCAGUCAUCUGGCCCUUCUUAUGUCUCUGACAGCUAUCAAUUGCUGAUGUUUAAAAAAGCACAGGGUAUUAGGUUUCUUCCAAAAUUAACGCGAACUUUUUUGUGAUGAAGGUGAGGACCAGGAUAAUUAUUAGGAGUAAGCUCUGUUCAGGAGUGACAAACUCAAGGAAUUGCAGAGAGGAGAUCUCGUGGAUCAUCACUCAGUUUGCAACAAGCAUCUAUUGCAUCUCAUCUCAUUCCUCCCAUUCCCCAGGACCCUGGAAAGGCUCAGCACUGUCUGCAGAAGUUAACCUAGCCAACAGAUUGGAACAUCUGCCUUUAUAUUCCCAUGGAUGUACCAUAAGAAGUAAAUCAUCUCCUCUCACUUCCCCGGAAGGGCCAAAUGUGACUUCCUGAGUCACUCAUUCUGGAUGCAGUGAGGUUUUCUGGUGUAGAAUGUACAUACUUGGGCCUCAUCUCAUCUGCCGUAUGGAGUUCAGCUACUGGAUUGCAAAUAGGAAUAAAGUAAGCCGGUGCCACAGGAAAAAGGAGUAGCAAACUCUCUUCUCUCCACUCCUCGAGUUCCUCUGAAAUGACACUAGCAAAAACUGCGUCAAAUUUGUGGCUAUUGAUAUGCAGAUGUUACAGUCUUUCACUGCGUCGGGACAAAGAUGACUGCAUUACCAUGUCUGUUUUGCACAUAAAUGUGUAUAUUAUCGCAGUGCCCCCGCUUCCUGCAAAAUGAUAGCAAUUGAUGUUCAAACAGGACAGGCAACGCAAGACAAAAACCACAAAUAAAUUGCACUCAUGGAAUAUUCUCUUCCUUCUCCUUGUUUCUGAUUUUUCUUUUCCUGUUCUAUACACAAAGCUCAGGGCGAGCAGGAUCCCUCUGGCUAUAUGCGUGGGCGGCCAAUCUGGUUUUCUUGCAAGGUGACAGCUGCUUGCUUUUCAUUCAGGAAUAUGACUGCCCUCACCUGGUGAGAACAACACUUGGAAAAUUGCCAUUCCAGUUCUAUUCUCAAAUGCAAUCAUCUCUGUCAAACACGACAGCUGAGUGAUGCCUGCCAAGCAAAGGGUCACCCCCUCCACAGGAGCACAAUAUGUUCUUGAAAUGAGCUCCUGCUGUCUGACUUAAAAUAUAAAUGUGAUAGAUGUGAUAUUAUUAGAUUAAAUGAAAGACUGUUCUGACAUAAUUCUAUUGUUAUAGCCUUUGUAUGCAAAUCUGCUUGGUCUAUUACACUCAGUGAGAUAUUAAUUUGAAAUAGAAAUCUCAGGGUCUAGUUCAGGCAAGUAGAAUAAAUAUUUGAACAGUUAAGGAAAAAAUGCCAAAAUUCUCAUUUUUUAUUUUAUUUUGCUAAAUAUUGAAGUUCUGUAGGGUGUGAUUUUAUAAUAUUAAAAUUAAAAAAAAAAACAAAAGAAAUUUCACUGAAAAAUCUGAUAGCUCAAAGCAAAAUGCAUUCAGUCAUUUACAUAGGGGUAAUUUUGGAAUGGUGAAUUGUCAUUUCUAUCUCAAAACAAAUUUCAGAUUUAUUCAGGCCCUCCCUGAAGCAAGUACUUUGUGCUCAGCAGAGAGCUAAGUCAGGAACAUGCAACAGCAUUCGACAUUGUAUGCAUUAACUGUGGUGACAGUUCAACUUUUCACAUCCAGUAUAUUACUUCUACCACAGUGUCAUAGGGUAAGAGCCAAAUUUUAUUUUUUUUUUUCCACUGCCUUGAAAAUUGUUUACAGAUAAUGAGUGCCUUUCCUCACUGUGUUGAGUGAAAACUAAAAUACACAGAGCUCCUGGGAUCAAGUUGACUCAUGACAGAGAGAAGAGAACACAGCUUGAAUCAGGAAACAACAUAGCACCAUGGGAAGACUUACUUGAAGAAUCACAAGACGCUUCUAUCAUGUGCUAUACAGCCAAGCUGGAUGUGAACUUGCAUGAGAAAUUUCACAGCUUGGUUUCCAAAUAUUCAGAAGGAAAGAUGUGAGCAGGAACCAGAAGAUGUAAGCUGUUGGAUGUAGCCUUUCCAGGCUGUAGCUGGCAGGUCCAGCAUCUCUGCUGAAGCUUCCCAUGGCACCUUGGCCAAGACAAGCAGAAGCACAACCCAUAGCCAGUGGGACACUGCCAUGCAUAAAUACCCAAGUACCUUGCCAGAAGCUAAGUAGAAAAUAAAAUUUUGGUGCAGAUGAUACUUGAAAAAUUGAGAAAUAGAUAUAGAAUACAGGAAGGAGAACAGAACAAAGCUGGGGGAAGUAAGGAAUAUAAAAGGAAAGGAAGUUGGUAAAGGAGGGAAAAAGGAAGUAUGGAAGAUUUAAUCCAGUCAAUUAGCAUUCAGUUCAAGGGCUUUGAACAGGACAUGCUCAUAGCACCACAGAGAAUAGCAGUGCACCAUAAAGAAUAAGGAUUUUCUAGCAUGUGAUAUAGAUCCAUUGUUAAUAAAGCUGAUGAGGAAUUUGCAAGGAAAGAAUAUCACAGGCUGUUAUCUGACAGAACUACAAUGUGUCUACUGAGAAAUCUAACCCAGCAGCAGUGUCAAAGACAAUGACUGGCUGAGAUAAAAAACGUUAAGAUUUUGAAACCUAAUAAGGGAUUUGAAGUGAUGCAAUAUGAGGUCUCUUAAAAUUUAUAAAUACAAUAUUGUAUCAAACCUACUGUUGAAAAUAGUUAAGCAUGUGAACAUCAAACCCAAUAAAAUGCAUAGUGAUCCCUUUCUGUUGCUCUGAUCACUUUCCUCUGCUUCUUUGGCCCACUGUGGCCCAGGUUUGGUAAAUUCUAAGUCAGGCUGGACUGUCAAACCCAUUCUUCAAACCAGGCCAAUGGAAAAGGGAAGCACUUGUUGCAGAGGAUUUCAGGACAGGCUGUGAUUUGGUCCUAAACUACAAUUAAAACUUUAUGUUGCCUCAUCUGUCUUACAGAUGCCUGGUCUUUGUCUAAUCCAAGCUGUAGAACUUGACCCUAGGGAAGCUGUGUUUGAACAAUAAAGAUAUUCAAGUCAGCCAGAUCUUGCAUAAACUAUGGCAGAGCUUUUUUUUUUUUUUUUUUUUCAUAAACCAGCUGAACAAUUAUGGAUAUUCUUUCUUCACUUAACUAUAUAUUAGGUCAUAGGCUAAAGAUGGAAUGAAAUGUGUCCACUGGGUAUUUCUCUUUCCUCCCUUUCUGACAUUAGUUGUCUCCACUAGGACUGUUUUCCUCCUUUAGUCCCUGUAUAGCUCAAAGUAGCUCCAGAUCAUAGGGGAGUGCAACAGGAAAUCCUGAAAUAAGUUGCAUACAUGUGUAUCCCUAUGCCUGCAUUAAACACAGGAUUUCACAGAGAGGGAGAUAGUAGGAAGUCUGCUAAUAUUCUGUGUGGACCCAAUUUCAGGACGUGCUUUAUGCAAAGAAAACAAAUUAUUAAGUGUAAAGUAAUUCAAUUUUUCCAUCCUCUGCACCCCCCACAAAGGAUGUGUGGAAUUGAUACUGCAGAUGUUAGCCUUCAAAUGUAUUUACAGUGUUUUCUAGUUUCAGAGCGUCAAAAGGAUGCAGUGACUUGUCUGUCAUGAUGUAAUGCUAAUUUCUUUUGGUUAUUCAAAACACAUUCAUAAGAUUAGUCUGUACAGAAAAAAGAUUUUUAUUACCUCUUAUAGGGAAAAAUACAACAAGCUUUGUUCAUUCUUAUUUUUAUACUUACCUGUGUAAUUUUCCCCUAGAUAGGUAGCAGAAAGUUAAAUAGGUGAGAACUACAUUCUAUAAAAGAAUGGUGACGGAGUCCGUUUUUUCUCUGAUACCCUUUAAUUCACUUGGUUGCAUAUGAGAAGUGGUUGUUUCCAUACCAAGGAGGGCCUAACAGAAACAUCUGCUUUUCCUAACUCUUCAACAAAUCAGUUUACAUUCUGCCUAAAAAGCAGCAUUUUUAGAGGUCUGGUUUUGGACAAGCACAUAGGUCUGGCUUAGACUAACACCUAGGUCUUACAGCAGCCUUCUCUCUGGCUCAGCCCUCCUCUGGUGCUCUUGCCUGGAACUACUUCAAGCAAAUUGUCAACAAAUAUCCUGACAAACCUUCGUGACACACCAAUUUUGUUAACUGGCUUUGGUACCACAGUAAAAUGGCAUAGAGCAACUAUUUCUACUGUGUUAUUUAGGUUGUUAAACCUAGUUGCAUGUAUGUUCAUGUGCCACUGCAUCUUGCAUUGUAUGCAGCAAAUUUAUAGUGCAGGAAGCUAUUUUUUGUAACAGGGUCAUAACAUAAUUUUGAACUUACCCUGUGGGCUUAUGCUUAUAAUAUUCAACACACUUCGGUGAGAUUUAAUGAAGCCUAUAACAUUACUUUAUAUUGCCUUUAGGGUUUCUUUUUUAUUUUACUUUUUUUUUUUUUAACUUUACAGCUUGCAUAAUUGUUUUAGAGCAUGGGGUUAAAUAAAUUAAAAUGGGAGAUUUUACUAAAGCUAUUAUCCCAGCAGUAAGCUAAUCAUGUUGCAUUUUUAAACAGCAAGGAAUUCCAUACAGAGCAUAUGCAUGUGUUAAGAAGGAUAAGGAUGAAAAAGAUUUAUACAAAAGAUUUAUAGUUGUCUCAUAUUCUUACUAAAAGUAAGAGUUCUGGUUCUUACUAAACUCAAAACUCAAAAAAAAAUCUCUGAUUUGGGACCAUUUUAAGGUUUAUAACAAAGGUAAACUUUAUGAGACAACAGAUAUGUUUGUAUUGUAGAAACCCAUUCUUUUCACAGAAAAGCUGCAGUUGAAACUUUCAGCCACCACUAUAAGACUUGGUUUCAAAAGCUGCUUAUUUGUCCCAUCUACAUGAAUAGAGAGAAGGAUAUUACUUUUUUUUGGCCAUGAAGUUUUGAUGUCUGCCUGCUAAUGUACAGGAAUUGUUAAAAGCAUGCUGGAUUUCCUCAGGAAAGAGAGCCUAUAUCCUCAACAGUUUUAUGUAUUUACGAAAAAAACUGAACUAACAAUUGAGUUUCUGCAUCAUCCUGGCUUUUAGUGCUGUAGAAAGUUCCUCUUUUUCCAGAAGAAUAAGCCGUUAGCCAUUUAUGUUUCUGCUUUUCAUUUUUGCAGUUAUUUUCCAGAAGACUAUUCAGACUUUUACAUUCCCAGUAAUAGCAUUUACUUAACUGAGGAUAUUGUAUUGUGCUCAGCACAGAAUAUUGGUAUGCAUUGCCAUCUCAGGUUCAUGGAGUGGAGCCUACAGUUGCCCUAAAUCAGCCUUCUAAAAUUCUCCAUAGAUGCAAGCUGAUCACUGGGGUAGUUGAUCAGAGGGUUAUGGCUGGCUUACCAACCCUGGGGUGAUGGAAUGAUGUCUACCCAAGGUCUGGUGGUGGCUCUCCCUUACUAGGAGGGACAGCAGACAAGUGGUAGGGCGUUAACCAUUGCUUGCCUCCUGCAAUAGCAAAGCUAAAGCAAAACUUGUGACAGCCAGAAACCACCCUGCAGCUCACUGAAAUUACACCUUUCCCUGUACUUUUCUUUAUCAGCAUGCUUAUCUUUGUGUACCUCGAGAACACUGGUUGAAAUCAAAAGUCCACUAUUUCUUCCUCUAACCAUUGCUCAAAUUAAAGAACAAACCUGCAGUGAAAGAGAAAGUGUUUCCGAACUUACAGAGAUCUCUCAUAAAGAUACUGUACCAAUCAGUUUGAUUCCUGUGGCUUCAUACUAAAAGCAAAUGAUAUUUCACAGCAGCUGUCCAAGUGCAUAGGCAUGUAUAAAUUACACAUAAUGCUCUUUAUUCGCCUUUUGCUUUUAAGUGACCAUUGUGUUCGUAGAAAUGCAAAGAGAUUCUUUUUUCUUUUUAAGGAUAGUCAAUGAAAAUACCUAGGUUUUGACUCAAAUAAGCAUGAAUCCUUCUAUAUAUGAAACAAGGUUAAUUUUCUAUUCAGUGUUCUAUUUGAAAUGAAAGUUUGUUUUAUAUCAAAAUCUCUCCUGGGCAACUAGUAAAGAAAUGUGCCCAGUAUGAAAUUAUAAGCCCACUGACAUCAACAGGAAGAUACAUGUUUUAGUAAAAGUCAUUUUGAUUUCUGAAGGAAGAUUGGAAAUUGAGUCAUUAGAUGGUAAUUAUUAUUUCUGAGUACUUUCAAGGAACCUUAUCUUGAUGUCUUUUCUAUGGGGCAGAAAUUGCUUGUAGAUUGAAUUAAUCCCUUACAAAUUUCAUUGUAAUCCAUUAGAAGUCCCAGACAAACAUCUGGGACUUUACAGAGCUGGUAAAUGGUUCAGAAAGCGUUGUUAUAAGACUUGAGUUGUCCUUAUCAUCAGGGAAGACAAAAAAAGUAUACGAGAUAUGAGCCACGCUUUCUAGUGUGCUUCUAAGAGGUACUUAGAUGCUGUAAUAGAGAGCAUUGCCUCUCAGAUGUUCUGGGAAAGGCCAGGUGGCAGUUCAGUGUGUCUGCAGUCCUUAUAUGGGAUACAUAUGUGCUUUUUCCUAAAUUAUCUCUUCCUAGUAGAAUCAUACUGUUUGUUUAUUUCUGUUAUUGAAACUUACACAUUUAUCCUUAGAAUUAUGCCUAUUGGGUUGUAUUCCUAUCUACUUUUGUACAAUACUAUUUUGGUGUAUUCUUAUGCCACUUUAAUGAAUAUACCUGCAUAUGGUGAACUCCAUUACCUCCAGUAUUUCCUCUACAUAUUUCUACAUUGAAUUCCAAAGUUUUCCUGGUUUUUUGGUUGAUAUAUUCUUCUAGAGCCAUUGUAUGGAAACUGUUGAAUCACAGCUGGAACCUCUGAUUGACCACCUGAGGCAAGCACUGAGUCAGCCAUGAGAGCACAGGUGAAGGCAAUUCACCUGUGUGACCAGAAGGGGUGGAGCCAGGCUCCACCUCU